ACGAUCUUACUUGAACAAGAUCUAUUCUAUAGGCUCGUACCUCUAUAUCCUUGAUUUCUAGGGAGACAGAAAACCAUAUUUGGUGGAUGAAGCAUGACUACCCAGCCAGAGCGUGACUAACAGCACUGUGCCCCGCUUUCUGGCCACUCUGCAAUAAAUGAUUGUUCUCGGCUUGGCUCCAGUCCAACCGGGAUGGCUGGGCGGCUGUCUGACAGACU